ACAUACGACCAUAGGGUGUGGAAAACAGGGCUUCCCGUCCGCUCAGCCGUACUUAAGCCACACGCCGGGAGGUUAGUAGUUGGGUGGGUGACCACCAGCGAAUCCCUUCUGUUGCAUGUU
rfam:Aspergillus niger supercontig An12